UACAGAGGGUGCUAGCGUUGUUCGGAAUCACUGGGCGUAAAGGGCGUGUAGGUGGCAAGGUGUGUCUGACGUGAAAGCCCUCGGCUUAACCGAGGAAGUGCGUCGGAAACUACCUAGCUCGAGUGCGAGAGAGGAUGGCGGAAUUCCCAGAGUAGAGGUGAAAUUCGUAGAUACUGGGAGGAACACCAGAGGCGAAGGCGGCCAUCUGGCUCGCAACUGACACUGAGACGCGAAAGCGCGGGGAGCAAACAGG
rnacentral:rRNA from 1 species